GGUUGACUGACUGCUAGACGUCCCAGAGGAUCCAGUCGAUGCACCAAAAUACCUUCCGAGGGGACGUAAAAACACUAUCGCAACAGUUACGAACGAAGAAAAGAGAUAACGAUAACUGGGUGCCAAGAAGACCACUCCUCCUCUUUUCCAAGAGGACUAGGAGUACUCCGUCUUAGGAACCACUGCUGUUGCAGGCAGUCGUCUGCAGAGGUUACUGUAUGAAGCUUUUAAGGCCUUUUUGGUAACUCACUCAGAAGCUUGGGUGACAGGACUUGGCAGCGGUUCAAGAACAACAUUAAGGCAGCAGCCAUCUAGUGAGUAAGAACAUCUCCUCUCAGACAACAAAUGCAUUGUGGCUGGUUUGGUAUGAAAGGUUUCCUUGUAGUGUUUACCUGGGCCAGAUCUAUUUGGAUAGGG
ensembl:lncRNA